UAGGAGGCGGGGUGGCCACAAUUUCGCGCCAAGCUCGGCGGGCCGAAUCCCGGUUUGGUGAGCUAGCUGGGAGGUGUUUACAGCCGCUGUCAUGGUUCGUACGCUAAACUGCAUCGCCGCUGUGUCCCAGAACAUGGGCAUCGGCAAGAACGGGGACCUGCCGUGGCCCCCGCUCAGGAACGAAUUCAAGUUUUUCCAAAGAAUGACCACAACUUCCUCAGUAGAAGGUAA